rnacentral:rRNA from 1 species
AAAACUUUCAACAACGGAUCUCUUGGUUCUGGCAUCGAUGAAGAACGCAGCGAACUGCGAUAAGUAAUGCGAAUUGCAGAAUUCAGCGAGCCAUCGAAUCUUUGAACGCACAUUGCGCCCGCCAGCAUUCUGGGCGGGCAUGCCUGUCCGAGCGUCAUUU